rnacentral:rRNA from 1 species
GGGAUAUUGACAAUGGGCGGAACCUGUGCAGCAACGCCGCGUGAGGGAUGACGGCCUUCGGGUUGUAAACCUCUUUUAGCAGGGAAGAAGCGAGAGUGACGGUACCUGCAGAAAAAGCACCGGCUAACUACGUGCCAGCAGCCGCGGUAAUACGUAGGGUGCAAGCGUUAUCCGGAAUUAUUGGGCGUAAAGAGCUCGUAGGCGGUCUGUCGCGUCUGCUGUGAAAUUCCGAGGCUCAACCUCGGGCUUGCAGUGGGUACGGGCAGACUAGAGUGCGGUAGGGGAGAUUGGAAUUCCUGGUGUAGCGGUGGAAUGCGCAGAUAUCAGGAGGAACACCGAUGGCGAAGGCAGAUCUCUGGGCCGUAACUGACGCUGAGGAGCGAAAGGGUGGGGAGCAAACAGGCUUAGAUACCCUGGUAGUCCACCCCGUAAACGUUGGGAACUAGUUGUGGGGUCCUUUCCACGGAUUCCGUGACGCAGCUAACGCAUUAAGUUCCCCGCCUGGGGAGUACGGCCGCAAGGCUAAAACUCAAAGGAAUUGACGGGGACCCGCACAAGCGGCGGAGCAUGCGGAUUAAUUCGAUGCAACGCGAAGAACCUUACCAAGGCUUGACAUACACGAGAACGGGCCAGAAAGGUCAAUCUUUGGACAUCGUAACAGGGGGC